rnacentral:antisense_RNA from 1 species
UUCUAUGGGCGGGUCGUAGUGAGGGGGCCGCAAGGCCCGCUGGUUUCGUUUCGUUACCCAGUCUGUCAACCUCGCUACGUGCCCGCUCACCCCA